UACAGAGGGGGCAAGCGUUGUUCGGAAUUACUGGGCGUAAAGGGCGCGUAGGCGGCCUGCUAAGUCGAACGUGAAAUCCCCGGGCUCAACCCGGGAACUGCGUCCGAUACUGACAGGCUCGAAUCCGGGAGAGGGAUGUGGAAUUCCAGGUGUAGCGGUGAAAUGCGUAGAUAUCUGGAGGAACACCGGUGGCGAAAGCGGCGCGCUGGACCUCUUCUGACGCUGAGGCGCGAAAGCUAGGGGAGCAAACGGG
rnacentral:rRNA from 1 species